CCGCCACAUAGUAAAGUUUUUUCAUUAAAUGCACGGGCUGCCCGCGAGAAGGAGAGAGGCCGGAGACAGUAAAAGAAGAACGGGGUAAAUAAAUAAGGGGCAACUCCGCUGUUACAAGACGAGCGCUUGGAGUUACGAGGAGAGGCGAGCUGGAAAAGGGCCCAUAAACUGCGUUUACUGCCCUCGUAGCGCGCUAUUAAAAAAGUAAGGGUCGGGAAUUUUAUGUCCUGUAUCAUAAAUCCAUCAGCUGAAGCCAGGGACUCAAUAGCGGCCUGAUCAGUUGCUACCAGACUGCCGAGCAGACAACACACGCUCGCCACUGCCUGCAGAACAGAUUUCAAAAAUCAACCACGCUCGGUUUUUUUGUUGUGUGUGUUUCUCCGAGAUCCGACGAGCUUUGUGCUUUGCCGCUAUACCACAACCAUCUGAGGUCCACUGCAACGACUGGAGGACGUGAGACCUUCGGGUGCGUCCUUGCCACCCGCUUUGCAAAUGUGAGUGUGGUGGUGUGCUUUAUUUCCGGCUUCUUGUGUGUGAUUACGAGCCAACCAUCAACAUCUGUGUCAUUUUUCUGCCAUCAUUUAAAUCAGGAGAGAAGGAAGAAAAAAAAAUCACCAUGUUACUGGAGGGUGAGAUAUCGAGGACUACUGGGAAAGUAAGUGUACUGUUCUUCACGCUCAUCUCUCAGAAGGUGGUGCUUCCACUGCUCGAAGACUCGCCACCAUUGUUCAUGCAUACAACAAUUUUUUCUUCAACCCUUCUGUGAAUGUGUGCAAAUCACCACAUGUCACAGGUGACAUUAGUUUUCUCACACACCACACACAAAAGGUUACCUGGAAAUAAGGAGUUUCUAAUUCGCUGUUCAAGAACCUGAUCUGGAAAGAUGGGGGACUGCAUCGUUUACCGGAUAAUACACGUGCAGCAGCAGCAGCAGCAGCAACAACAACAACAGCAGCGAAAGCUAGUGACAAAGAUGGGUGUCACAGGUGUGAGAUGGUCUUUAGUACGAGUUUCCUGAUCGCGGGAAGAUGAAGUUAAUUGACUGAGAGCUGACCUUUAGCAAGUUCCCUCUCUGGACUUUGCAACGGGCUAAACCGGUAAAACCGCAUGGAUGGAAAUAGGCUAACGAUAAACUUAUAAACAUUGUGAGGAGAAGAUGCUAUCAGGUCACACACUCAAAUACUGAAAAGAUUAUCUGGCAUCGUGAAAAUCUGCCAAACAACAACAGCAGCAACAACAACAACUAACAGUUUAAAAAAAUCAGGAAAAAGUAUACAUUUCUUUCCGAAAUAAAAUCAUUAAAAACCAGGCAAGCAAGUUUGUAAUUUUCCCCCUGAAAUUUAUGACCAAUGCAUAUUUUAUGCAACUAAGUGAAAUAACUACUCUGAACCAUACCGGUUUGAACCCUGCUGCAUUUUCUCCCAAUGGAGGCAAGAAGAUACAAUAUAGUUACAGCAGUUGUCCAGACGAAUAUCCAGCCAAGACUUGACCCCAUCGUUGUCACAGCUGUAUCGCAACUUAAAUAAGACUUAAAGGUAAACAUUCUAUUGAAAACAAUCAAAUGUAAAUACCUCUAAGGACAAUAUCAACAAAACUUAAAGGUAAAUCAUUCAACAUAUACAGAACUUGAAGGUAACUAACUAUCCUCUUGAAAAUAAAAACAAGAGAUUUCCUUAGGCAAAAUGUAUUGACGACAUAAACACGACUCUAAAUUAUCUUAGUGUAAUAAUAAUUCUAAUUAUAACAUACUAAAACAACAAUAAUAGCAACAAUAUAAACCGUUCUCUUGACAACAUAACAAAACAAAGGUCAAAUGAGAUCAUGAAUGGUUCGCAGCUGGUUGUGGCUCACAAUAAUCGAAACCUUUUUUUUUUGAAAGUGUAAAAGCUUCCGCCAUUCUUUGCAGUCUGCUUAGCAGUUUCUUGUGGUUCACCGAGAAAUUUCUACCAAGCCUACAAGAUGGAUGGAUGAGAACAAUAAUUUGCAUAUGUUUUAAGCUCUCUAGUGGCCUCCCUUGACAACGGAAGCAUUUUGCCAUACUACAACGACAUCACGGUGCUGACCGAACAAGAAUGCUGAUAUUUGAAGAUUGUUAUCUCAUGACAGGAAAGUGCUCCUCCUUCUAAGUUUUAUUUUUGUCUUAUGAAGAAGCAAGAUUGUCUUCUUUUAUUUCUAAAAUGUAUAACGACGACGAACACUUUGAAUACAGUUACGACGGUGCUAAACAUUUAUACCAAUCCCCCUCUCCUCCAAAAUUGGAAGAAAAUAAAAGGAUGAAGUGAGGGAGAAUGUGUGAAAGAAGGAUUAUCAAAAGCAAGAACUACUUUGUCUUAAGACUUGGAUUCUAUAACUGAAUCCUUUUCCGACUUAUUUUGAGUUACUAGUACAACUUUUGCGUGUUUGGAAGCGAUUGUUGUUAGAUUCGUCAAACAAAACGUAGGCUAGCAGUGCGCAUGCGCGUAAGUAGCGGAACUGUGCACAAUGCUCGACUCCCAAGACGUGUUGGAGGGCAAGCAUCUCUCCUGCCCAGCGUCUCCUCCUCCCGCAAGGUCAGCACGGCGUCUGCUAGUUAAUCACUUUCUGUAUCUCCUUACCCACCCUGGCUCCGGGGCGCGCAUCCCCCCACAGGGCUUGCACCGUUAAUCAGCUGCACGUGCGGUUGUCAUGGCGACGGAACAGAGUAUCGCGACUUGACCCUCAGAAACGAACUGUGACGUCAUGAUCACACACGCUCGGUUCUCCAGGGUAAAGCCACUCACACUCUCACGACCAUGAUCCCCCCGGAAUCCACACCCGGAUUCGAACUCUCAGGCAAAAGGGACCUGGAUGAAGGGAUAACAAUAAUUCAACCAAGGGCUGUCAGGGCUGGGGAGGGAUGGGAGAAUAAAGGGAAGCAAGGGAUGGGUGGGUAAGUUGAGGAAAAGGACAAGAGAGUUCGAAUGUUGGGAGUGGAAAACGGGUACGGGUACUCUUGCAAGCUAAAUGUGUCUAUAUGUGUGCGAGCGCGCUGCUUAUAUAUGUUGGGUGAGUAUACUAUUUCUAUUAAUACUACUACUGUAAAUCAUACUGCUAAUAAUAACAACGUACAUUUAUAUAGUCUACAUUAUUUCUUACAAAAGUGUGGGAAUGUUUUAAGGAUCAUCCAUUAAAAAAGUAAACUAAAAAAAAACAACCAACAAACAAACAAACACAAAAAAAACAACAACCAAAAAGCGAAAAAAAACAAACAAACAAACAAAAACAAACUCAUAUGAAGUUCAGAUCACUAAAAGUAAAAACUUCAUAUAGUCUUUCUUUCUCUCUCUCUGAACCUUGUACACUGUAACGGCAAUGCUUAUUCACCUGCACGUGCGCUCUUCGCCGAGUUCAAGUACGCACGUGCACAAUACUGUUCUUAUCUUUCCUUACCUGAGGGCAUAGAGAGAUUAAGGGGACUUAACUCCCGCUGACGCGAGGUGAGGCCAUCAGCAGAUUUGUGCGCAUAUCCAACACACACGGCGUAGACACACUUUAUGGGGUUAUGCAUAUGCAUGCGCACAAAUAAAUUGCGCGCGCGCGCUCCCUCACCACCGAGCAUGCCAGCAUCGUUGCCAGAUCGGACAGCACCUCAUCAAUAAGCGAUAAACCGCUGGGCGGCUGAGCUUGGCGCUUUCAUACUGUGCGUCACUUCCGGUGUAUCGUCUGGGACGUUAUCAGCCAGCGGGAAAGGGGAGCUUACCCUCCUCUACCGGCGGCGGUCGGGGUGUCUGUCCAAAGAGAUAUCCUUUGAGACAUUUUGAAAUAUCAGUAUAAUUCUUACAUAAAUUACCUCCCUUGCUUCAUGUUCCCGCCACUUGUCCCCAAGAUCAGUUGACCUUUACGCACUUGUCUUUCCACAUUUUUUAAUGUUUUAGAUGGAUUUUCUCAUGUAAAAUCCAUUUUUUCUGUUUUAUUUAACAAUCGUUAUUUCUGACAUUUUUUAUUAAUUUUAAUUUGAAGACGCCUAUUUUUGUUGCUGCUAUUAAUAGUUACAGCAGUUUAAUUAACCGAUAUUUUCACAAAUAAAAAAUUAGUUUAUAAAGUUCCUUUAAAACACAAUACAAUUCUAAGACAUCUCCAAUUAAAUAAAAUUAAUUUAUGAGCCAAAGACUUAUUUUGUAAUGUAAAAUGUAAUUAGCACCUCUGGCAGCACCAGACAACAUAUCCCUUCCUCACGUGCGACAAAGGACCUUGUUAUUUAUUCAUUCCCUCAUUUACUCCUCUAACUGUUUACCGUGGUUGGGGAGUGACCCUGCCCAGGCACUGACCCUGCUUCAUGCUGCUGCGCUUGCCGAGCGUUCAAUAGUCGCGGGGAUGAUGGAGGGCUGAGUGCAGCUCAGCCGCCGCCGAGAGGUGAUGUGUAUAGAUUAGCGCCUGCCAGAGGGUCGGCCGCUGAUUGGUUAAUAAGAAUGUCAAUUACAGAGUUCAGUGAUUGCGUCAGGGUGCAGACAAAAUGGCCUUACUAGCUAACAAGUGCACAGCCUGUAAUUCAACGCCAGGGACAACUCGUACAUCAUGUUUAUGCAUUAUUCC